UACGUAGGGUGCGAGCGUUAAUCGGAAUUACUGGGCGUAAAGCGUGCGCAGGCGGUUUUGUAAGCCAGAUGUGAAAUCCCCGGGCUUAACCUGGGAAUGGCAUUUGGGACUGCAAGGCUUGAGUGCGGCAGAGGAGACUGGAAUUCCUGGUGUAGCAGUGAAAUGCGUAGAGAUGUGGAGGAACACCGAUGGCGAAGGCAGCCCCUAGGUUAACACUGACGCUCAGGCACGAAAGCGUGGGGAGCAAACAGG
rnacentral:rRNA from 1 species